UCAGAUGUUUGCGGGAAGCCUGAAACAAGCAGCAGGCAGGAGUCAUCCCUGUUCGGGCCCUGCCAAAAAUGUUCGAAUUGGGCCCCACACUUCCUAAAGCCGGCCCUGGUGAGAAGAAGGUUUAUGUCUGUCUUGCUCCAGACUAUGAUGCAUUGGAUGUAGCCGACAAGAUUGGAAUAAUCUAAAGUGCAUCCACCAAGAGCUGGGCACAUGAGAUAAUAAACUUUGUAAAACCAAAAAAA